ACUCCAUAAAACCCACUAUAAGUAAUAGUAUUUCACCAGGAACUCUUAUGGAACAUACAGUGAUUGCUUUACGAAAACGGUUAAAGGCAGCAGGUCUGCAGGCACAAGAAGGACCUACUGAGGCCGUUUGAAGUUCCUCUUUACUUUAGGAAAUCCUGAAGGACAAUGUGAGGCCAUGAGACUAAGGCAUAAGGACUUUGCUGUGCACUAGGAGAUGAGCAGCUUUGACUCAACAGGAGAAAAAUGAAGGAGUGGGAGGAGCCUAACUGAGAUGCUGUGAGACAUAAAUGUGCUUUUCAUGUGUGAAACCUACCAAUGUUGCUGAAUUUAAACAAUUUUGUGAAGAACAGAAGGAUGAAACUUAUUCACAGCCUAUUGAAAGCUUGAUGUCAGUUACUAUAGCCAAAGGUUGCAGUAACCAAAUAGAGUCUAAAAUGAUGAUUACUUUUUCAUAUCAGCUCAGGUUGUGUGGAUGGCUCUUUUCAUUUAAUAAGAAAUUAUUUGAAAACUGCAUUUUAUGUUUACUUGGGUUAUCUUUGCUUUAUAACACACUUAGUUUGUUGAUUGGAAACAUUAAUUGUGGCAAAAGGUCCCAUUCAUGACAUCCCACAGAUGAUAGAAAAUCAUUCAUAUUUUCAUGUUAAAGACGUGAUUGUUAAUGCAAUAAUUUCAUGAUCAUUACAAAUAAUAUAAGGAAAUAAGAUGUUUUCAUUUAUUUUUUAAAGCUGAUUACAUUUAUUUGAUACAUAAAUCUUGAAAAAUAAUGUACAUGUAGACAUAUAAGGUGAGAUGGUGGUAGGUGUUCGUUCGCCCCACAAUUGGCAGGUUGCUGGUUCCAUCUCUGUUCCACCCGGCUCCUCUAGUGUCUGGCAGCCCCAGGGCAGCUGUGGCUACUAUCCAGUACCUCACCACCAUGUGAGUGUAUGGGUAAAUGACUGUAAUAUAAAGCAUUGUGAGGUCCUCUGGACUUGAUGAAGCAAUACUUAUAUAAGUCAUUUAUACAAAGCCAUUUACCAUAACUUUUAUUGAAUUGUGGCACUUUUAGUUCACCAUAAUUCAUGCAGCCCAAGCUGUUCAUUGUUCAUUGCAACACAUUUAAGGUAGCUAUUGUUCUACACCUAAUAAGGUCUCUCUUUAUUUAUUUGUCUUGCGUUUCCAUAAAAGCGGCUCGUUUUGCUGCAAGCAGCUCCACAAUAUAUCAAAACGUGGUUCGUUCUUAUCUGUCUCAUAACAAACUGUUAUGACGUGGUGAGAGUUUUAACAAAUAUGUAAAAAACAUAUUCUAUAAAAUAAGUUACAUUCAGCAGAUUUAAGUUAUGUGAUCUGUCCCAGAUAGAAUUAAAUAUUUUUUUGGCCUAACAUUUGCAUUUGGUAGAUUCACAUUGUUUUGGUUUAAACAUAAGAUUGACAGUUGAGUUUAACAAAAUAAAACAGAUACCUAAAGAAUGUCUAAUACAAAUACGGUCAAUGUAUUUCUAAAAUACAUUGACCGUCUAAGAUUAUUUGCCUCUGAAAAACAAUCAGAGGCAAAUAAUCAAACGUAAACUUGUAAGAUUUGCUCAGAAACUCUCGACAGUGAAACUUGAACUUGAAGCGACUAUGUAAAGGUGAGUGUCCCUUCAAUGAGCAUUUCAAUUUUAAUUAUGUGUCAAGCAGACACUGAACAUGUUCCCAUUCCUCAUGGUGUCUGUCAGCACCCAGGGGCCGACCCCCUGCUGGAGGACCUCAUUAGAUUAGGCUCCCCAGGAGAGCUUCAUCCUCAGCAGAAUGCAACAUUUCCAUCUUCCAUAUCAAAGUACUUCUUUUCUGUUUUCCAUCCCCUGACCUCAUCCAACUUAUUUGUUUCCACGACAUUACGUCAUAAUGUAGUUCGCAUUUUUGGUAAUAACAUAAUUUAACAGCAUGAUGUAUAUGAUGCAUACUUAUAUGCAAAUUCAAAAAACUCCGUCAGUCACAUUUUUCAACCUGAAUUGUUCAGACUGUAUCAGUGCAGACCUUCAUUAGCGUACCUGGUACAAAUUGUUUAUGUUUCCAAAGUAUUACUAAAGACCGUCACAGAUCUAAUGAGGACCUUAUCUAUAAACAGGGCAAGAUUAAAUACUAGCAUUCCUUCAAAGUGCCACAGUAUCCUACUCAAUCAGUGGCAGCCAAACAUUUCUCAUUAACUGGAUCUCUAAAUAUUGAAACGAGUCCUUAAAUGUUGAUCUGUAAUCCUUCUUACAAUGAUCCCAAAUCGACGUCUUAAAGACAGCAAGGAGGCCAUGUUUUAUGCCCCUCUGAAUUUAAAUCAAUUAAGCAAAGAAUGGAGAAGCUAAAUGACCUGUGUAUAGUACAUUCGAUAAGCCUAUAAUUACUGCCCACCGAUCUUCUGCGCAGUAUAUUGGCCCAUGAAUAGGAUAAAGGUCAGGAUGUAACAUUGUGCAUCGACUUGGUUUUUACACUAAUGGACGUCAAUACAGAGUGUGUACUGCCCCUAAAUGGCAAAGCAAUUUAAUUAUUUGUCAUAAAAAUAUACUCAUAAUGGAGAACCAUUAUUAUGUUAAGUCAUAUUGAUCAAUCUUUAAGUAGAUUAUUACCACCUAGUUGUGUAUUUUUUUUCACUAACAACUCUGCAAUGAUUAAUAAAGUUAUUUAAUGAAGUAUGAAUUUGCACAGCAGCAUUUACAAUAACACUAGAUAAAAAAAAUAAAUAAAACAACUUAACAGUGAAACUAGGGAAAUUUGCACAUAGUAUAUAAACAUUAAGGUUGACCUGAAAGACUUUCUUUUCAGAAAAAAUCCUUUCAUAGAUGAAUAUUUUGAAUAUUUGAAAUACCUGUUGCAAAGAAAACAUUAAUUAUGUAUUUAUCUAUUGAAAAACUAAAAUCCAACUCUUAAUUUCGACUGAUGACAGUCUAAAAACAGGCUGGGACCUUCUGCAGGUAUUCUAAAAUGAUUUUUGUCUUUUUACCAAGUCGCCACGCAGAGUUUAGGAAAUGAUCACAGACGCCAUCUGAAGCGCUCUGCAUGUUAGCCUCAUCACAUCACCUGCUGUAAAGGGGGCACACCGCCAGAUGUCCUGUGAGCACAACACAGAGCUAAGUUUAAAAUUUAACCUCUAAAAGAAAUUGUGAAUGAUUUAACAAAUUUAUGCAUAGUUCCAAUAUCCUGUCACUGGCGCUGGGUCAUCAGGCUUCACCUACUUGUCAUUUUUUUCUGAAACUUCUAUAUUCUUGUGCAAAUCAACAUUUUUUUUGUUCACUCGGUAAAGGUUUAGAGAAAUGUGAAGUAAUGUUUUUGUUAAUGUUCACUAAUUCCAAAUAAAAGUAAUCUCACUUUGGAAAACAGAUGAAAUUUUAAUUUGGUUUUAAGCCAUGAAUGUCAUGUAACUCAUUGAAAAAUACACUUUUAUCACCUCAUGCCUGUAUUUCUGUAACUCUCAUUUGAUUGAAAUUAGCCUUUAGUUCAGUUACCAAGAUGUUAAAGUGGUACUAGCAAACGAGAGCACUAGGUCCACGUUUAGCUUAAACCUGUUCAGUUAAACCCAUUUUAAAAAUCUCAUAAUCUUCUUACCCAUUCUUAUUUGUCUGAACUGCUUCUCCUUUACUUGCCUCAUGGGUUCUGAAUCAGCUGACCUUUGACCCAAAGACAUUUUAUAAAUCCAGAGGAGACUUUUGAGCUUUUCACUCCCAAAAUGUGAGAAGAGCUGCAGCUGCAGGCUCCAUCUGUUGAUGCUCCAUUUCUUGAUCUUUUCUCCAUGGUUGUAAUCCAGUGUGAGUUUAUCAUCAGUCUGCUAAUCUUUUAUCCUUUGUUUGUACUUGUUAUACGUUCAGUUUUCUGCAGCUCCUGUGUGGUAACAGGAAUAGGUUUUAUAGACCUAUUCUCUAUGUUUGGUCAGCUGUUUUGUUUUUGCUGAAGUGCAUCAAAAAUAAAGCAGGAUGGAAUAGUUUUAUGAAUAAGAUGUAUCUUACAGGUUAACGUAAACCUCUAAAAUUCCCUAAGCUUAUAUUCAGACAUUUAUUUUCAUCACGAUCCAACUGGACGUCUCUUCUUGCAUUGCAGAAUAAUAUAUUUACUCAUUUAAGACAAUUGUGAAAAAAAAUUAGCUGCAGAAUUCUGGAAAAAAGGGAAUAAAAUAUCCCCAAAAUAUAUUUGACAGUCAAAGUGAAAUACUCUGUUCUCCUUAUUUUCUCAGUUUUUGUGGUUUCCAUCUUUCUAACUAUUAGCUGUUCUUCCUCUGCCCUGCACAGACCUAAAAUGUAUCAUCAGUCUGUUUCAAUUCAGUAACUCCAUUUGAAAGAUUUAGAGGUUGUUUGUUUGCCGCAGGAAGCAGUUGCUCCUCAUUUCCAUUCCACUUCUCACUCUGCAGCUUACUUCAGAGCAACUUAUCGGCUUUUCUGCCGUGAUUGACAGCUCAGAGACACCUUGCGAUGACUUCUCUGCCUCUGUCAUGUUUCGUCUCUCUCUAUCUUCUCUCCUCUUCCUUUUGAUGCGCUUUGUCUCUCCAGCAUACAUGUAGGCCUUUCUUUAACCUCCCCAGGGACCUCUCUGUCCCCUAGCCUUUGGAAGCUCAAGGAGAACAGUCAAUAAAAUAAACUGGCUGGAUAAGGAAAUAUAUAUUUAUAUAUUUUCUGUUUCUCUUUAUACUUUCCGCCUCCUUCAGGUCUGCUGCAAAGAUGCACAGCUGGAGCCCAGGCUGAUUGACAGCUCCGGGGCCUAUUUUGUCAACUCUUUAUAAGCAAUCAUCUCCUGUGACUACUUCUCUUGAGACAGACACACUUUGAAAGCAUCAGACCACCACCUUCUUUAAAAGGAUCAAUUGUUUUAAGUGGCCAAGUGCCUUGAAGCGUUGCUUGUACGUUGGAACAGUUCUAAAGCAGGAAAAUACAAGUACUUCUGUAAGUCUGAAGCCCGGCUCUGGAUUGUUAGGAACUAUGCUGCUGAAGCUUCUGACACAUCUGCUUUAGAACUUACUGCAAUGUUUUAUUCCUGGCAAUCUAAGAUUAGGCUUUUUAUGUGGAUUGAAUCGGUUUUUCUCCUUGAUACAUUUUAUGAGGGCUCCUAAAAUAUUUGUUCUAAAAAUGUUUGGUAUGUGUAUAGAACUUUAUUUAAACUGAACUUGGGCAAAGUGUAUUGUGUUAGAAGAAUUAUGGGCAGCCAGGCUGAGUGUUGUUUAUUUGAAAUAGGGUUUUUUUUAUACUCCAGUGACAGUAAAGAUGGAUUAAGCUAGGUUUAUAGCUUACACUUAAGUUAUGCACUGUGCAUUUUGUUUUAGCCUUGUGCAUCAUUGCCUAGUUCAGAACUAGACAAUAAACCUUUUGUCCCCCAGCUACCUCUAGAGAAUGGCACCAAUGUAAAGUUAAGCAGAUAUAAGAAAUGGACUGAUGGAUGUUUUGGUCUGUCACAAACUCUCAAAAUAAUACAUUGAUGUUUAAAGUAAUGUGAGAAAAGGUGAAAAAUGUUUGGAAAAUUCCAGAUCCUUUUUAAAUUUUUCUUCAGCUAAUCCAUGUCAAUCACUCAACAUGAACCAGUCAGUUCUUAAAGGGAGUUAAGCCACAUAAUAAAACUUUCUGAACUCUAUAUCACAAUAUGAAUGGAAGAGAUGCAUUAUGUUCCAGAUGAUUCCAGGCUCUGACUAACAGCUCUUAUUGGAGCAGAAAUGCAAUUUCAUGUCUUUCAAAUGGUAAAAGAUGUUCAGUGUGUUUUGCCGAUGUAUUUUAUUGCCUUUCAUUUUACAAACGGCAUCCCUGACAUUUCUAUGCUAAGCCAGAUAAAAGCAGCAUUCAUUUCUUCAGCAUUGAAACAUUUGAAUUCAAACAGAUUUUAAUAUUGUUGCAAGUUCAAAAACAUCACUUCUUUCCUUUCAGCCAUAAAGGGGAUUUAAAAAGAAAUAACUGCCUGGAACAUCAGGGUCAACCUGUAACUUUGACAGUCGAAGGAAUCUGAGCCUUCACAUAAUAUUUAGAAGCUCAAAUGCAACAUCUGCUUGCUGUUCUGGAUCUCUUCAAGGAAUAAAUAGUUUUUUCACCAAAUGUAAUAUGAAACAAAAAAUCAUUUUGAACAACAAAAGUAUGUGCAAAUAUAGACAAAGCAGACUCAAGAGGGAAUUUCACAGUAGUGACUCACAACUUAAGAGCUCGUUUACAAAGCACUGACGGUCAUUGCUUCAGAAUUUCCAACCUUGAUACUUAUUUUAUUUAUUUGACUUAGAGCUCUAUUUGUUUGACUCUGUGAUGGGAGACAAUUUAUAGCGACAUAAGAGGCUGGAUCACCUGCAAAAGAAUUAAGUGUGUGCUUUAGUUUUGUUGCGCCAAUAUCCACUGCAUCAUGCAGGUCCGCCUCAGGAUUAAUGUUUUCAUUUUAGCCCUAGACAAAGCUCUAUCGACUUUGCUUAAGCACACUCUAAAUAUGAGAUGUCCACUGUGGAACAUUAAAUGUUCCAGUGAGCAAUUGAUCUUUGCUUGGGGUCAAAAGCAGCAAGGAUUUGAAGUUAAAGUAAAAUAUCUGCCUCACUAAGUCAAAUGAAAUGGCGAGGCUAAACUGAUUGUCCACAACCUGUGGGCUUGGUAGUUACAAUUCAGGAAUUGAUGAAUUGGUAUUGCUGAGGACAGAUAAUGAUUUAUAUUUUAAAACCCUACUAUUGGCCAGAGGUGUACUUUCUUUUUUUUUUGUUUUUACUAAACCUGCAAAUAAAUCAAAGCUGAUUAUGUAUUCAAUAAAUAGCGGAAAAAGCACACAAACACGUGAAAUAAGCACACACAACUUCUCUCCGAGAUGUAAAUGUAACAAAAAGAAUUUCCAGUUAAGCUACUUUAAUCAACAAAAAAAAGAAGCAAAUAACACUCAA